AUGGGCGCACUGGCCUCGACACCUCCAUGGUCGGCGCUGGACAAAGGAGCAGAGGUCCUCUGGCUAGCCGAGGUGAGGAGCGCGGUGUCGCGCGGGGUGGCAGUGGAUCGGGUCGCGGAGGCACUGUGGUGCGUCGACCAGGGGCGCAGCUGGGGCUGCGGUGGGUGGGACCUCCUCGGCGCCCGCGUUUUGCGCCUCGAUCCAGAGCUUUGCUCAAGGGCAUGCGCCGGCGACUGGAUCCAUGGGCGGCAGCACCCAUCGCAGGCGGAUCCACAAUCGGGGGGCUGCAGGUGGCGCGUCGAUGAGCGGAUCCAGCCGAGCCCGAGCAUGGGAUCGCUGCUAAUGGAGGAGAAGGGCGGGGGAGGAGGGACAGCACGGGGUGCGGUUGCUGGUUCCACCGCCGGUGGAGCUGCUCUAGCGGGAGUGGUUGGGAAGGAUGUUGGUAGGGCGGCGCCAUGGGCGGCUUGGGAGGAGAGGGGGCAGAAGAAAGGUCCGCUAAUUUGGGGGUGGAGCAUGGGAAGGAGGAAGAAGGGGAUCCGGCAACGGCGCCGGUAG
rnacentral:rRNA from 1 species